CCUACGGGAGGCAGCAGUAGGGAAUCUUGCGCAAUGGGCGAAAGCCUGACGCAGCGACGCCGCGUGCGGGAAGAAGGCCUUCGGGUUGUAAACCGCUUUCAGGAGGGACGAAGCCACUCGGGUUAAUAGCCCAGAGGGUGACGGUACCUCCAGAAGAAGCCCCGGCUAACUACGUGCCAGCAGCCGCGGUAAUACGUAGGGGGCAAGCGUUGUCCGGAUUUAUUGGGCGUAAAGAGCGUGUAGGCGGCCAGAUAGGUCAGCUGUGAAAACUCGAGGCUCAACCUCGAGAUGUCGGCUGAAACCAUCUGGCUAGAGUCCGGAAGAGGAGAAUGGAAUUCCCGGUGUAGCGGUGAAAUGCGCAGAUAUCGGGAAGAACACCCGUGGCGAAGGCGGUUCUCUGGGACGGUACUGACGCUGAGACGCGAAAGCGUGGGGAGCGAACAGGAUUAGAUACCCUGGUAGUCCACGCCGUAAACGAUGGGAACUAGGUGUGGGCGGUGUCGACUCCGUCCGUGCCGAAGCUAACGCAUUAAGUUCCCCGCCUGGGGAGUACGGCCGCAAGGCUAAAACUCAAAGGAAUUGACGG
rnacentral:rRNA from 1 species